rnacentral:rRNA from 1 species
AAACUCUACAAUGCAGGCAACUGCGAUAGGGGAACAUCGAGUGGUUUCCAUAUUGGAAAUCUGUCCUCCCGUCUAAAAAACGGGAGUUAGCAAGGGCCGGGCAAGACCGGUGCCAGCCGCCGCGGUAAUACCGGCGGCUCGAGUGGUGGCCGAUAUUAUUGAGUCUAAAGGGUCCGUAGCCGGCUUUGCAAGUCCUUUGGGAAAUCCAGCGGCUUAACCGUUGGGCGGCCAAGGGAUACUACAUUGCUUGGGACUGGGAGAGGUAGGAGGUACUCAGGGGGUAGGAGUGAAAUCCUGUAAUCCUUUGGGGACCACCGGUGGCGAAGGCGUCCUACCAGAACAGGUCCGACGGUGAGGGACGAAAGCUAGGGGCACGAACCGG